GUUGGCUCUACCUUAAGCCGGGGUGCUAACCUUUUAGGAGGCAGCCGACCACGGUAGGGUCAGUGACUGGGGUGAAGUCGUAACAAGGUWKCCGUAGGUGAACCUGCAGAAGGAUCA
rnacentral:rRNA from 1 species